rnacentral:rRNA from 1 species
GCUUAACACAUGCAAGUCGAGCGGUAAGGCCCUUCGGGGUACACGAGCGGCGAACGGGUGAGUAACACGUGGGUGAUCUGCCUCGCACUUCGGGAUAAGCCUGGGAAACUGGGUCUAAUACCGGAUAUGACCUUUCAGUGCAUGCUGUUGGGUGGAAAGAUUUAUCGGUGCGAGAUGGGCCCGCGGCCUAUCAGCUUGUUGGUGGGGUAACGGCCCACCAAGGCGACGACGGGUAGCCGACCUGAGAGGGUGACCGGCCACACUGGGACUGAGACACGGCCCAGACUCCUACGGGAGGCAGCAGUGGGGAAUAUUGCACAAUGGGCGGAAGCCUGAUGCAGCGACGCCGCGUGAGGGAUGACGGCCUUCGGGUUGUAAACCUCUUUCGACAGGGACGAAGCGCAAGUGACGGUACCUGUAGAAGAAGCACCGGCCAACUACGUGCCAGCAGCCGCGGUAAUACGUAGGGUGCGAGCGUUGUCCGGAAUUACUGGGCGUAAAGAGCUUGUAGGCGGUUUGUCGCGUCGUCCGUGAAAACUUGGGGCUCAACCCCAAGCUUGCGGGCGAUACGGGCAGACUUGAGUACUUCAGGGGAGACUGGAAUUC